GUGGCCCGCAACUUUUGCCGAACAAGUGACUGCUGCCAUUAUUCGAGGCCUAAAUGUCGCCACAGAGCCCAUGCCAUGCUAGCAGGUUUUUCAGUCACAUGUGGCAUUUUCUUGUGAUGACUAAACAACAAUGUAUAGUUUAUAGCAGACAGCUCCAGAGCAGAGAUUGGCAGUGUUUAUAUCUGACAGGGAUGUUUAACAAGCAAAGGCCAGUUUUUGAUUAAGACUGGGAGUCUUCUUACCAGG